CUUAAUCCUUAAGUGGGGGGUGUAUACAUUUCUGUUUGCUAAAAUUCUAAAGACUAAUCAGGGUGGAAUGAAUCUAAAAUUCACACAUCAUAGAAUUCAUCUGAUGUUUUCUUUCUGAUGAACUCUAGUAUUUUUCUUCCUCUCUAUCAUAUACCAGACAGGGUACAGAGGGCAAAUAUACUUAUUGUGUCUCUAUUUUAUAUUUCCCUAUGUAUGAUCCCUUACUAGGUAGUGUGAAGAUCCCAGGAAAUCUACUUCCCUCAUGAAGCUUCAGUUCUACAGACACUGCCAAGAGGCAGAUUUUUGUUACUAAGCCCUUUAACUCUGAACACCUGAUUUUAUAAGGAAGAGCUCCAAGUUCCCCAGGCAGUGGAGACUUCCUUGAGCUGAGAGAGGGAGAUCAUUGGAAACACCUGAGGGGGACAAUCAAGUAUAAAAUCCUAUGAAGUGUUAGCCCCUUUCUCAACUUCCUAUUUUGUUUUGAGGUCAGCAGCCUUGCUCUGGGAUUUAUUACAAUGAAAUCCCUUCUGGUAUUAGGAGUGCUGUGCCUUUUAGUUUGCCUAACUUGGGCUAAUGAUGAACCAGUGACUGUGGAAUGUAGUCUUCUCAUGUUCCGGGUGUCAGUGAAAAAAAAUAUAUUUGGUGCUGCCAAUCUUGUGACUGCUGAAGAACUGAUGCUUGGGACAGGUUGUCAAGUUAAUGGAGAGAAGCCAAAUAUAUUUGAGCUACACUACAGUGUGUCAGAGUGUGGGAUUCAGAUUAAGACUUUUGAAACACAUGCGGUCUAUAAAGUUAGUCUCCAUUAUACCCCAAAGAAUCCCACUUUUGGUCUUGUGACACGUGAAUUCUCCUUGGCCUGCACAGUGUUCAAGCUGCAAUAUUUCCCGAAGACAGAGAAUCCUGAUCUUUUUGGACCAGACAAAGAAGACCAAGAACCUAUUGACAUAAGAAACCAGGCUAGUGUUCCUGACCCCUCCUGUUGGAGACAAGCACUCCGUGAGAUCCCAUGGAGCAAAGCAUAAAGUCUCUGUAGAACAGGAGACUCAAUCUUGGAACCGGUUCUCUUUCCCAUCUUGUCUCUGAGUUCUGCAGUUUGUCACCUUCUUUGCCCUGGAGAUAUUGGGCUAUCUUGCAUCUUGAGAUAUUACCAAGGAGGUAGCUAAAGGACAGCCAAUGCGAAACAAGUGUAUCAUCCUCGCCACUCUGGUUCCAAACUUUGGGAAGCUGGCAUUGUUUAAACUUGCCUUGGUGAGCCUCUCAGGAUGUUUUUAACAUUCAUUUUAAAGAAAUAAACCUUUCCAGUACUGCCCUUAUUUUGUAAUC
rnacentral:lncRNA from 1 species